UACGAAGGGGGCUAGCGUUGCUCGGAAUCACUGGGCGUAAAGCGCACGUAGGCGGAUUGUUAAGUCAGGGGUGAAAUCCUGGAGCUCAACUCCAGAACUGCCUUUGAUACUGGCGAUCUCGAGUCCGGGAGAGGUGAGUGGAACUGCGAGUGUAGAGGUGAAAUUCGUAGAUAUUCGCAAGAACACCAGUGGCGAAGGCGGCUCACUGGCCCGGUACUGGACGCU
rnacentral:rRNA from 1 species